rnacentral:rRNA from 1 species
UACGUAGGGUCCAAGCGUUAUCCGGAUUUACUGGGUGUAAAGGGCGAGUAGACGGCGUGAUAAGUCAGAUGUGAAAUCUUAGGGCUCAACCUUAAGACUGCAUCUGAAACUGUCAUGCUAGAGUGCAGAAGAGGUAAGUGGAAUUCCUAGUGUAGCGGUGAAAUGCGUAGAUAUUAGGAGGAACACCAGUGGCGAAGGCGACUUACUGGGCUGUAACUGACGUUGAGGCGCGAAAGUGUGGGGAGCAAACAGG